AACGAACGCUGGCGGCAUGCCUAACACAUGCAAGUCGAACGAAGCCUUCGGGCUUAGUGGCGCACGGGUGCGUAACGCGUGGGAAUCUGCCCUUGGGUUCGGAAUAACAGUUAGAAAUGACUGCUAAUACCGGAUGAUGUCUUCGGACCAAAGAUUUAUCGCCCAAGGAUGAGCCCGCGUAGGAUUAGGUAGUUGGUGGGGUAAUGGCCCACCAAGCCGACGAUCCUUAGCUGGUCUGAGAGGAUGAUCAGCCACACUGGGACUGAGACACGGCCCAGACUCCUACGGGAGGCAGCAGUGGGAAUAUUGGACAAUGGGCGAAAGCCUGAUCCAGCAAUGCCGCGUGAGUGAUGAAGGCCUUAGGGUUGUAAAGCUCUUUUACCAGGGAUGAUAAUGACAGUACCUGGAGAAUAAGCUCCGGCUAACUCCGUGCCAGCAGCCGCGGUAAU
rnacentral:rRNA from 1 species